GGUCUGGGAGAGGGCACGCGGGAGGUCUGGGAGAGGGCACGCGGGAGGUCUGGGAGAGGGCACGCGGGAGGUCUGGGAGAGGGCACGCGGGAGGUCUGGGAGAGGGCACGCGGGAGCAUGGAUUGCGGACUCACUGGAAGUUGCUGGGCGUGCCAAUGUCGGCCUUGGUCAGCUUCUUCUUCC